AGGAAGCCCUUCGGGGUGUAAACCACUGUCAGGAGGGACGAAAGAGCUCAUGGUGAAUAAUCAUGGGCAGUGACGGUACCUUCAAAGGAAGCACCGGCUAACUCUGUGCCAGCAGCCGCGGUAAUACAGAGGGUGCGAGCGUUGUUCGGAAUUACUGGGCGUAAAGCGCGCGCAGGCGGGUCCUGUAAGUCGGAAGUGAAAUUUCGGAGCUCAACUCCGAAGCUGCUUCUGAUACUGCGGAUCUAGGGACUGGUAGAGGCUGGUAGAAUUACAGGUGUAGCGGUGGAAUGCGUAGAUAUCUGUAAGAAUACCCGUGGCGAAGGCGGCCAGCUGGGCCAGGUCCGACGCUGAGGCGCGAAAGCGUGGGGAGCAAACAGGAUUAGAUACCCUGGUAGUCCACGCCGUAAACGAUGGGCACUAGGUGCCGGGGGGAGCGACCCCUUCGGUGCCGCAGCUAACGCGAUAAGUGCCCCGCCUGGGGAGUACGGCCGCAAGGCUG
rnacentral:rRNA from 1 species